rnacentral:rRNA from 1 species
UACGUAAGGACCGAGCGCUGUCCGGAAUCAUUGGGCGUAAAGGGUACGUAGGCGGUUAGAAAAGUUAGAAGUGAAAGGCUAUAGCUCAACUAUAGUAAGCUUUUAAAACUGUUUAACUUGAGAGAUGGAAGGGAAAGUGGAAUUCCUAGUGUAGCGGUGAAAUGCGCAGAUAUUAGGAGGAAUACCGGUGGCGAAGGCGGCUUUCUGGCCAUAAACUGACGCUCAUGUGCGAAAGCGUGGGGAGCAAACAGG